AACCAGGACGAUUACUUUGAGGAAAUUAGAGUGUUCAAAGCAGGCCUUUGCUCGGAUAUAUUAGCAUGGAAUAAUAGAAUAGGACGCAUGGUUCUAUUUUGUUGGUUUCUAGGACCAUCGUAAUGAUUAAUAGGGACGGUCGGGGGCAUCA
rnacentral:ncRNA from 1 species